ensembl:snRNA U5 U5 spliceosomal RNA
GCUCUCGUUUCUCUUUAGAGCAAAUAAAUCUUUUGCCUUUUACUAAAAGAUUUCUGUGGAGAGCAACACUGGAAAAUUAAUUAAAUUUUUGAGUCUUCUUCUGGUAAUACA